GACGAACCGAGCGAACGUUAUUCGGAAUCACUGGGCGUAAAGGGUGCGUAGGCGGGUCUUUAAGUCAGAGGUGAAAUCCUGGAGCUCAACUCCAGAACUGCCUUUGAUACUGAAGAUCUUGAGUUCGGGAGAGGUGAGUGGAACUGCGAGUGUAGAGGUGAAAUUCGUAGAUAUUCGCAAGAACACCAGUGGCGAAGGCGGCUCACUGGCCCGAUACUGACGCUGAGGCACGAAAGCGUGGGGAGCAAACAGG
rnacentral:rRNA from 1 species